CUCUGAGGCUCAGUCUGGAGAGGAGAUGAGCGCGGCUGAACAACAUCGGCAGGGCUGAUCUAACAGAGACUAAAACCAAAACAGCUCAUGUUUGCAGUGAUCAUUUUAUCUCAGGAGCGCCAGCAAAAUUAUACAACAGAAACAAUCCAGACUGGGCGCCCACUCAGAACAUGGGCUACGUUUCAUCCAAGGUUGGACUCGAUUCUUCGGCAGCCAAACCAGAUAGAACGCGAUAUCUGGUUACUCGAUGGGUUUGCUCUACUAAAGGUGAUUUGCUCUUUAAGAGAAAAAAUGCUGGAGCAAGAUUGAUGAUUGGUCAGUUUGUGGAGGAGUUGAAGGCAUUUACCUGAUUUAACUUUAGGACAUUUACAAAAAUUCAGACUGGCAACAAUCAUCAUUUCAGUCAUAAGAAAACGAAGUCAUGAG